rnacentral:rRNA from 1 species
AGAGUUUGAUCCUGGCUCAGAAUGAACGCUGGCGGCGUGCCUAACACAUGCAAGUCGAGCGGUAAGGCCCCUUCGGGGGUACACGAGCGGCGAACGGGUGAGUAACGCGUGGGUAAUCUACCUAGAAGUGGGGGAUAGCUUCGGGAAACCGGAGGUAAUACCGCAUGAGACUCUAUCAGUGCAAGCUGAAUGGGUGAAAGAUGGGGAUCUUCGGACCUGUCGCUUCUGGAUGAGCCCGCGUCCGAUUAGCUUGUUGGUGAGGUAAUGGCUCACCAAGGCUUCGAUCGGUAGCCGGCCUGAGAGGGUGAUCGGCCACAUUGGGACUGAGACACGGCCCAGACUCCUACGGGAGGCAGCAGUGGGGAAUUUUGGGCAAUGGGGGAAACCCUGACCCAGCGACGCCGCGUGGAGGAUGAAGGUCUUCGGAUUGUAAACUCCUGUCAGGUGGGAAGAAGGCUCCCAGGUGAAUAGCCUGGGUAGUUUGACGGUACCACCAAAGGAAGCCCCGGCUAACUCCGUGCCAGCAGCCGCGGUAAUACGGAGGGGGCAAGCGUUGUUCGGAUUUACUGGGCAUAAAGCGCACGUAGGUGGCAUCGUAAGUCAAAGGUGAAAGCCCUCGGCUCAACCGGGGAAUUGCCUUUGAAACUGCGUUGCUUGAGUCCGGGAGGGGGGAGCGGAAUUCCCAGUGGAGCGGUGAAAUGCGUAGAUACUGGGAGGAACACCGGUGGCGAAGGCGGCUCCCUGGACCGGUACUGACACUGAGGUGCGAAAGCGUGGGUAGCAAACAGGAUUAGAUACCCUGGUAGUCCACGCCGUAAACGAUGGGCACUAGUUGCAGCGGGUGUCGACCCCUGCUGUGACGAAGUUAACGCAUUAAGUGCCCCGCCUGGGGAGUACGGUCGCAAGGCUGAAAUUCAAAGGAAUUGACGGGGGCCCGCACAAGCGGUGGAGCAUGUGGUCUAAUUCGAUGCAACGCGAGGAACCUUACCUGGGUUUGAACUGCUGGGGGUCGAUGUAGAGAUACAUCUUUCCCUUCGGGGACUCCAGUGGAGGUGCUGCAUGGCUGUCGUCAGCUCGUGCCGUGAGGUGUUGGGUUAAGUCCCGCAACGAGCGCAACCCCUGCCCUUAGUUACCAGCGAGUCAUGUCGGGGACUUUAGGGGGACUGCCGGCGUCAAGCCGGAGGAAGGUGGGGACGACGUCAAGUCAUCAUGGCCUUUAUGUCCAGGGCUACACACGUGCUACAAUGGGCGGUACAAAGGGUUGCGAAGCCGCGAGGUGGAGCCAAUCCCAAAAAGCCGUCCUCAGUUCGGAUUGCAGUCUGCAACUCGACUGCAUGAAGUUGGAAUCGCUAGUAAUCGCGUAUCAGAUCGACGCGGUGAAUACGUUCCCGGGCC